UACGGAGGAUGCAAGCGUUAUCCGGAUUUAUUAGGUUUAAAGGGUGCGUAGGCGGACUGAUAAGUCAGUGGUGAAAGUCUGUAGCUUAACUACAGAAUUGCCAUUGAUACUGUUAGUCUUGAGUUCGGUUGAGGUAUGCGGAAUGUGUAAUGUAGCGGUGAAAUGCAUAGAUAUUACACAGAACACCGAUUGCGAAGGCAGCAUACUAAGCCGUUACUGACGCUGAUGCACGAAAGCGUGGGGAGCGAACAGG
rnacentral:rRNA from 1 species